UGCGGGAUGGAGCAGUGGUAGCUCGUCGGGCUCAUAACCCGAAGGUCGUAGGUUCGAGUCCUGCUCCCGCUACGA
rnacentral:tRNA from 1 species